rnacentral:lncRNA from 1 species
AAUUCUACAAGAAUCGUUUAACCCUAAUUCACGUUACGAUCUCAAAUACAAAAUUAGGAGACGGCCUUGGAACUAAACUAAAGUAUAACUCCGGCCAAUACUGCUAAGAUUGGCGGCUGGUGAUUCAAAAAAAAGUUGUUGUACCCGACUACGACUACAAUGUAGACGAAGGAGAAAUAUUUCUUUUUCAUUCUAAUGGAUUUUUUUUUUUGCUGUAAUUAUUUUUUCUCUUUUUCAAUUUCUUUUCUCCUUCUGGAUAUGUUCAAUUUGGUGAAAAAUUAAAUUAGGUUAAAUUCCAACAAAAAUUUGGUAUUUUUGAUUUAACAAGUUGUGUUUAUUGAUUUACUUUUGGUAUUUAUCUAGGUCAAGUUUUAUAAAGAUUUAAAUUUUUAAUGGUGUUUAUUAAAGAGACAAAAAGUUUGCGUAGAAACGCUGUGAAAGCAACAAAUACACGAGGGCAUAAUGAGG